AUUGAACGCUGGCGGCAGGCCUAACACAUGCAAGUCGAGCGGAGCGGCGGAUGGGUGAGGAAUGCCUAGGAAUCGGCCUGGGAGUGGGGGAUAACGUCCGGAAACGGGCGGUAAUACCGCAUACGAGCAGAUGAGCCUAAGUCGGAUUAGUUAGUUGGUGGGGUAAAGGCCUACCAAGGCGACAAUACGUAACUGGUGUGAGAGGAUGAUCAGUUACACUGGAACUGAGACACGGUCCAGACUCCUACGGUAGGCAGCAGUGGGGAAUAUUGGGCAAUGGGGGAGAGCCUGAUCCAGCCAAGCCGCGUGUGUCAAGAAGGUCUUCGGAUUGUUAAGCACUUUAGGUUGGGAGGCGUUACCAACAGAAUAAGCACCGGCUAACUUCGUGCCAGCAGCCGCGGUAAUUC
rnacentral:rRNA from 1 species